UGGGGAAUAUUGCGCAAUGGGGGCAACCCUGACGCAGCCAUGCCGCGUGAAUGAAGAAGGCCUUCGGGUUGUAAAGUUCUUUCGGUGACGAGGAAGGCGUGAUGUUUAAUAGGCAUCACGAUUGACGUUAAUCACAGAAGAAGCACCGGCUAACUCCGUGCCAGCAGCCGCGGUAAUACGGAGGGUGCGAGCGUUAAUCGGAAUAACUGGGCGUAAAGGGCACGCAGGCGGCUAUUUAAGUGAGGUGUGAAAUCCCCGGGCUUAACCUGGGAAUUGCAUUUCAGACUGGGUAGCUAGAGUACUUUAGGGAGGGGUAGAAUUCCACGUGUAGCGGUGAAAUGCGUAGAGAUGUGGAGGAAUACCGAAGGCGAAGGCAGCCCCUUGGGAAUGUACUGACGCUCAUGUGCGAAAGCGUGGGGAGCAAACAGGAUUAGAUACCCUGGUAGUCCACGCUGUAAACGCUGUCGAUUUGGGGAUUGGGCCUUGAGCUUGGUGCCCGAAGCUAACGUGAUAAAUCGACCGCCUGGGGAGUACGGCCGCAAGGUUA
rnacentral:rRNA from 1 species